UACGAAAGGGGCUAGCGUUGUUCGGAUUUACUGGGCGUAAAGGGCACGCAGGCGGUCUUGCCAGUCAGGGGUGAAAGCCCGGGGCUCAACCCCGGAACUGCCUCUGAUACUGCAAGACUAGAGACUAGGAGAGGGUGGUGGAAUUCCCAGUGUAGAGGUGAAAUUCGUAGAUAUUGGGAGGAACACCAGAGGCGAAGGCGGCCACCUGGACUAGAUCUGACGCUCAGGUG
rnacentral:rRNA from 1 species